GCACGCUGGCGCCGGCGUUCCCAGAACGCUCCGCGAUGCGGUCCCAGAACUUCAUUUCCUGGAGGUCUCAGCAGCCGCGUACGUUCGCCCUGCGCGGGCUGCGCGCUCUCGCUGCCGGGCGUUUGCUCCUGUUUGAGCAUUGACAUGGACUCACUGGGAUUUUCUGCAGAGGAAUGCCAUGUAAGGAGCAGCAGUUUGUUCAUUCACAUCUGGGAGACAUGCUGUGCUCUGCAAUAUGUAAUUCUGAAAGUAUGGUUUCCAGACCAGCAGCAGCAGAAUAUGGCAACUUGUUUAGAAAUUAUUCUAUUCAGAAUUCCAUGUUAUUUUUAGUCAUCAUGACUCCUUAGGCCCUCUUGCUGUGGCAGUCCUGGAUUUUGAUGACCUUGACAGUUUUGAUGAGUCUUGGUCAGGUAUUUUGUGGAAUGUCCUUCAACUAGGAUU